GAUGAACGCUGGCGGCGUGCCUAAUACAUGCUACUCGAGCGAACGGACGAUAAGCUUGCUUCUCUGAUGUUAGCGGCGGACGGGUGAGUAACACGUGGAUAACCUACCUAUAAUUCUGGGAUAACUUCGGGAAACCGGUGCUAAUACCGGAUGAUAUUUUGAACCGCAUGGUUCAAAAGUGAUAGACGGUCUUGCUGUCACUUAUAGAUGGUUCCUCGCUGCAUUAUCUAGUUGGUAAGGUAACGGCUUACCAAGGCAACGAUGCAUAGCGGACAUGAGAGGGUGAACGGCCAAACUGGAACUGAGAAACGGUAAAGACUCCUACGGGAGGAAGAAGUAGGGAAUAUUGAGAAAGGGGCGAAAGAAUGAAGGAGCAAAGCAGCGUGAGUGAUGAAGGUCUACGGAUCGUAAAACUCUGUUAUUAGGGAAGAAAAUAAGAGUAAGAAAAUGUGCACAUAGUGACGGUAACAAAUAAGAAAGAAAGGGCUAAGUACGUG
rnacentral:rRNA from 1 species